rnacentral:lncRNA from 1 species
AGGGCUAAGCCUAAGUCGAAUGGAAAAACUUCAUAAUAGGCUAAGAUUCCAAAUGAGUUUGCACAAGUCCUAACUUUGAAUGAGCAUAUCUAAAUAUUUAUAAGGUUAUAUGUGAUGAAUAACCUAUAAAGUGAAAAGUCCUUGAGUCUAGUUUUCAACUCUUUAAUCCGUUUUUCAUUUAGACAUUUCUACACAAAGUUAAGGUAAAAUUACCAAAUGCUAAAAAAAUGCGAUCCUGUGUCACAUAUGUGAUCGCAAAAACCAUUAUGUGGUCCGCAUACUUGAUUUAUGAUUGCAGAAAUGCAAAAUAGAUCAGUGUAGCCAGUUUUAGGCAUUGAGUUUUGCGACACAUUUGCGGC